rnacentral:rRNA from 1 species
CUUUAAGGCCAUAAUAUCUGAAGAAUGCCUGAUCUCAUCUGAUCUCAGAAGCUGCGCAGGGUUGGGCCUGGUUAGUACUUGGAUGUGAGACCCGUGGGAAUACCAGGUGUUGUAGUGG